rnacentral:rRNA from 1 species
UACGUAGGGUGCGAGCGUUAAUCGGAAUUACUGGGCGUAAAGUGUGCGCAGGCGGCCGCGCAAGUCGAGUGUGAAAGCCCCGAGCUUAACUUGGGAAUUGCGCUCGAAACUACGUGGCUGGAGUGUGGCAGAGGAAGGUGGAAUUCCACGUGUAGCGGUGAAAUGCGUAGAGAUGUGGGGGAACACCGAUGGCGAAGGCAGCCUUCUGGGCCAACACUGACGCUCAUGCACGAAAGCGUGGGGAGCAAACAGG